CAGUCUUUAAAGACCCGCAGGCAGGAGAAUUCCAUCCGCCCCCAGCUCUUAGAAAACCCAGGACCAGUUCCUUCCUGGCCUUCGGGGUCCCAUCAAAGCAGGCCUGAGCAGACUGACCCCUUUUACGAUUGGGGGCAGGGGUGGCCAGAGGGAGAGGAAAUCAAAGGAGAACUAAACGCUGGAUCUUCAGUACACGGGAAGGGUAGGAUUCACUCCCAGAGGUCGAAGAACAGAGAGGAGAGAAUUCUCCCACAUGCCCCACCCUUCUGGGGCCUUCCUGACCCCACUCUGCCCUCCUCCUAGCUCCGCCUCUGCCAGCUACUUUGGGGGACUAGGUUGGGAUUCUCCACUUUUACCGAAGGCCUUCCAUGUGUCUAACUGCAGUUCUCUCUGUUGCAAGUUAAGCCGGAACUGAAAGACCAGAAACCAGCCUGCCCUAGUCAAAGAAAGUUAGGGCCCAACCAGCCUCUCCCCAAGAAGCAGGGUAAGGUGGGGCAUUCAUCUCUCUGGACCCUUUUCCCCAGCCUGAGCCAGCCUUUGGGGGUAGGGAGGAGGUCCCAGGGAAGAACCUGGUUGCCAAAGUCUCGGCCAGUUGGAGAAGAGAUGGGUCUCCCGAGGAUACCCAAGCCCAAGCUCUACACUGUCCCAAGGUGGUUUGUUUUUCUUCUUUCUUCUAUUGGUCUGGACCUUGUAUAUUCUGGGAGGAGGUGAUUAAGGCCAAAUUGCCUUAAGUGGCCAUCCAGCCAGAAGCUGGAAGAAGGGAAGGAUGAGAGGGAAUGAACUGUUGUGUUACGGCUAUUGAGAGAAACAGUGGCAAUACACAGCCAAAGCCCUGAGUUUCUAAUACGGCGCCACCUCUUAUGAGCUGUGAGAUCUUGGGCAAAGUAACUAACCUUUAAGUAUUUGUCUGUAGAAUUGAGAUUGAAAUACUUAUCUUUGCCAGAAUUGUUAUAAGAAUUAAAUGAGUUGAAAGUGUUUCAUCAAGUGUGCAAUGCUACUCAAGUAGGAGGGACUAAGCUACUUCCUUCUCUCACUGCUUGACUGAGCUUCUCUCCAGCCCCACCCCCUGAUGUUUACUGCUUAUGGAGAAAGAGAUUAAGUGAAGCAGGCCCACACAUUCAUGAAGGUGGAAGGAAGAUGUAGCAGGAGAUGGUGGAGAGGGAAACAGAGGAAGACAGGAUGACAGACGUGGGGAGGAAAGGCUGAGCGAGGCAAUGUCCUGACUCACUCUGGCGCUUCCCUCUUUCCCAUCUGGGCUCCAGAGUCUCUGCCCUCAUUCCCCUUCACCAGGUUGCUCAACCCUCCAUCAGACUGUUAGGUCAAGGGUGGACAAACAGACCAACCGGGAUCUGGAUGGCCCCUGGGCAGUACUGACUUCCCCUACCAUUCCCAUGGCAAGAAAAGGGAGUGAUUCCACUAGCAGACUCCCCUACCCUGCAGUGAGACAGCCUGUAGGAAGGUGAGACUCAGACCCCAAGGUUUCUGCUUUUGCUUUGUUCCUUCGAGAUCUCCAUUCCCCCAUGGGAGAGAAACCUCUCUGUCCCACCUGCCCUCCCCUCCCAUCAGCUUUCAGAUUCUCCAGCUGCUCCUCUUCUGAGACUCACCCAGUCUCAUGCCUCCAUUAGCCUCAACUCCCGACCCAUGGCCUGUGGUGAGAGGUGCUAACAACAUGACCUGCUUUCAUCUUGACCUUCCCAGCCCACCCAGAGAAAAGGGAAUCUUGGCUAAAAAAAGGCUGGAAGAGGGGAGAACCCUGGCACUGCGGGUGGGGCUGGGAGGAGCCCAGGCAACCUUACUGCUGACUGCUAAGCUGGAUGCGUAGGGGAAAGCAGAGAAAAGGUGAUUUACUGGGACACAGAGACACAGGCUGGAAGAGAUAGCAUGUGUUUCCUUAAAAUUUGAAGCAUUUGGCUGGGCACAGUGGCUCACACCUGUAAUCCCUGCACUUUGGGAGGUAAAGGCAAGAGGAUUUCCUGGGCCCAAGAGUUAGAGGCUGCAGUGAGCUAUGAUUGUGCCAUUGUACUCCAGCCUGGGAGACAGAAACCCCCUCUCUUAAAAAAAUAAAAAAAUAAAAAAUGGAACCAUUGCUCUGAGUUUCUAAUAGGGGGAGUGGUGGGAGGUGGCGAUGGUGGGAUGGGAGAAAGGGAACUGGAGAGGGCAGUGGGUCCCAAGCCUCCUGCUUCCCCAGCUGACUCCUACCUUGGCCUUUCCGGUCAUGCCCGAGAGGAAGCUGAAGGUCUGUCGCAGGGAGGAGCCUACCCGGGUACCUGAAUGUCCUUCCAGCUGGCUGCAGCUGCAUAGAGAAAAAGAAGACAUGAGGAGAUGGAGGUAAUGCUGGAAAUGAAGAAAAAGAUAACUUCCUGAGAGAUGGUGGAUGAAGGUGCCAUGACCAGCAGAGCCAGAAUGGGAAGGAAGAAAGAGGAA
rnacentral:lncRNA from 1 species